rnacentral:rRNA from 1 species
AGUCGAGCGGAAACGAGUUAUCAAAGCCUUCGGGUGGAGAUAACGGCGUCGAGCGGCGGACGGGUGAGUAAUGCCUGGGAAAUUGCCCUGAUGUGGGGGAUAACCAUUGGAAACGAUGGCUAAUACCGCAUAAUAGCUUCGGCUCAAAGAGGGGGACCUUCGGGCCUCUCSCGUCAGGAUAUGCCCAGGUGGGAUUAGCUAGUUGGUGAGGUAAUGGCUCACCAAGGCGACGAUCCCUAGCUGGUCUGAGAGGAUGAUCAGCCACACUGGAACUGARACACGGUCCAGACUCCUACGGGAGGCAGCAGUGGGGAAUAUUGCACAAUGGGCGCAAGCCUGAUGCAGCCAUGCCGCGUGUAUGAAGAAGGCCUUCGGGUUGUAAAGUACUUUCAGCAGUGAGGAAGGUGGUGUCGUUAAUAGCGGCAUCAUUUGACGUUAGCUGCAGAAGAAGCACCGGCUAACUCCGUGCCAGCARCCGCGGUAAUACGGAGGGUGCGAGCGUUAAUCGGAAUUACUGGGCGUAAAGCGCAUGCAGGUGGUUUGUUAAGUCAGAUGUGAAAGCCCGGGGCUCAACCUCCGAAUUGCAUUUGAAACUGGCAGACUARAGUACUGUAAAGGGGGGUAGAAUUUCAGGUGUAGCGGUGAAAUGCGUAGAGAUCUGAAGGAAUACCGGUGGCGAAGGCGGCCCCCUGGACAGAUACUGACACUCAGAUGCGAAAGCGUGGGGAGCAAACAGGAUUAGAUACCCUGGUAGUCCACGCCGUAAACGAUGUCUACUUGGAGGUUGUGGCCUUGAGCCGU